UACGUAGGGGGCAAGCGUUGUCCGGAUUUAUUGGGCGUAAAGAGCGUGUAGGCGGCCAUGUAGGUCCGUUGUGAAAACUCGAGGCUCAACCUCGAGACGCCGAUGGAAACCAUAUGGCUAGAGUCCGGAAGAGGAGAGUGGAAUUCCUGGUGUAGCGGUGAAAUGCGCAGAUAUCAGGAGGAACACCGGUGGCGAAGGCGGAUCUCUGGGCCAUUACUGACGCUGAGGAGCGAAAGCGUGGGGAGCGAACAGG
rnacentral:rRNA from 1 species